rnacentral:rRNA from 1 species
UUUGAGAGUUUGAUCCUAGCUCAGGAUGAACGCUGGCGGCGUGGAUAAGGCAUGCAAGUCGAACGAUCCAUUUUUUGAACAAGAUGAGAUUACAUCAAAUUAAGGGAAGAAAAUGGAUAGUGGCGAACGAGUUAGUAAUACCUUGGUACAUACCCUAAAGUGGAACAUAAUUCGUCGAAAGGCGGACUAAUUUUCCAUAGUAUCCGAUGCAACAUUCGGAUUAAAGGCAGCAGUCGAGAAUAUUCCACAAUGGGCGAAAGCCUGAUGGAGCGACGCCGCGUGCAGGAUGAAGGCCUUCGGGUUGUAAACUGCUUUUAACUGGGAAGAAGUCGCAAGACUGACGGUACCAGUUGAAUAAGGGGUUGCUAACUCUGUGCCAGCAGCAGCGGUAAUACAGAGACCCCGAGCGUUAUCCGGAUUUAUUGGGCGUAAAGAGCGUGUAGGGAGAUUGAUGUGUCUGAAGUUAAAUCUCAGGGCCUAACCCUGAGCCUGCUUCGGAAACUAUCAAACUAGAGGGCGUUAGAGGCAGAUGGAACAGCCGGUGUAGGGGUGAAAUCCGUUGAUAUCGGCUGGAACACCAAAGGCGAAGGCAUUCUGCUGGGACGUUCCUGACCCUGAGACGCGAAAGCGUGGGCAGCAAAAAGGAUUAGAUACCCUUGUAGUCCACGCCCUAAACGAUGUCCGCUAGCUGUUUCGAGUAUCGACCCUCGGAGUGGCGAAGCUAACGCGUUAAGCGGACCGCCUGGGAAGUACGGUCGCAAGACUAAAACUCAAAGGAAUAGACGGGGACCCGCACAAGCGGUGGAGCAUGAGGUUUAAUUCGAUGGUACACGAGAAACCUUACCAGGGUUUGAAAUGUUGGCGAAAGCUGUUUGAAAGGACAGCUGUCUCACAAGGACGCCAGCACAGGUGCUGCAUGGUUGUCGUCAGCUCGUGGUUUGAAUUGUUCCCUUAAGUGGGGUAACGAGCGCAACCCCUGUUGUCUGUUAUAAGUGUCAGACGAGACUGCCGUGUUUACACGGAGGAAGGCGGGGAUGACGUCAAAUCCGCAUGGCCCUCUGAUACCCUGGGCCACACUCAUGCUACAAUGGCCGAUACAAAGGGUUUGCCAAAGCGCAAGCUGGAGCUAAUCUCAGAAAAUCGGCCCCACGCCCUCAUGAAGCCGGAAUCGCUAGUAAUCGCGCAUCAGCUAUGGCGCGGUGAAUACGUUCUCGGGUCCUGUACUCACCGCCCGUCACGCCAAGGGAGCCGGGAGAAGGUGAACCCCGACAUUGCGUCGGAGCAGCCUUAGCUCGGUGACAUGGGCGAAGUCGUAACAAGGCACGCGUAGCGGAAGCUGUGCGUGAAUCAA